rnacentral:rRNA from 1 species
AAGCGGUGGAUUAUGUGGUUUAAUUCGAUGAUACGCGAGGAACCUUACCAAGGCUUAAAUGGGAAAUGACAGGCUUAGAAAUAGGCUUUUCUUCGGACAUUUUUCAAGGUGCUGCAUGGUUGUCGUCAGCUCGUGCCGUGAGGUGUUAGGUUAAGUCCUGCAACGAGCGCAACCCCUGUCACUAGUUGCCAUCAUUAAGUUGGGGACUCUAGUGAGACUGCCUACGCAAGUAGAGAGGAAGGUGGGGAUGACGUCAAAUCAUCACGGCCCUUACGCCUUGGGCCACACACGUAAUACAAUGGCCGGUACAGAGGGCAGCUACACUGCGAAGUGAUGCAAAUCUCGAAAGCCGGUCUCAGUUCGGAUUGGAGUCUGCAACUCGACUCUAUGAAGCUGGAAUCGCUAGUAAUCGCGCAUCAGCCAUGGCGCGGUGAAUACGUUCCCGGGCCUUGUACACACCGCCCGUCAAGC